CUCCUUGGAAGCCAUCAGACUGGAGAUGUCAUGGGUGGAGAUGACAUAAAGAUGCUCCAGGAGCCCCACUGGCCUGCCUGUGGCUCCCAGACUCGCUGGUGGGGGCAUCAGAUAAGGAAAUGGGAAAGGCUCUGAGAAGAUCCAGCCCUACUUCCCCUGACAACUGCCUAGCACUUGCCAUGACCAUAUGAACUAACAGCCACCGCGGAUUCCAUCUUAGGCCACUCAGACUAGAUUGGUUCAUCCACAGUUCUUUCCUCCUACAACGUGGGUUCUGGAGAAACACUUUUUACUCACGGAGCCAUCUUGCCCACCUCAGUUUUGCUUUUUAAAAAAAUCAAAGUCCAUCCCUGGAGAGAAGACUCAGUAGUUAAGAGCAAGUACUGCCCUUGCCGAGGACUUGAGUUUGGUUCCCUCCAAACUUUGAGUUACAGCUCCGGGUUAUCUGACGCCCUCUUCUGGCCUCUACAGACACUGUACUCAUGUAAUAAAAGCCUUAAAAAGUGAAA